GGAGUGUAACACAUAUGCGAGUUUGCGGGUGCAAAAACCCAUAGGCGAAACGAAAGUGAGUAUAAGGUGUGAUGCUUUCUAUACUGGGAGCUGCAACAUCGACCAACCUUGAUCUUCUGUGAAGGGUUUGAGUAAUAGCAUAUCUGUUACGACCCGAAAGAUGGUGAACUAUACUUGAGCAGCCUGAAGCCUGAGGAAACUCAGGUGGAAGGGCGCAGCGGUACUGACGUGCAAAUCGUUCGUCAGACUUGAGUAUAGGGGCGAAAGACUAAUCGAACCAUCUAGUAGCUGGUUCCCUCUGAAAUUUCUCUCAGGAUAGCUGGAACAAAUCUAGCAGUUUUAUCAGGUAAAGCGAAUGAUUAGAGGACUCGGAGCUCCCAGAGCUUUGACCUAUUCUCAAACUUUAAUUGGUAAGAACUAUUAGUUCUCUUAAUUGAACUAGUAGGUGGAAUGCUUGUUCCAAGUGGGCUUAUCGUGGUAA
rnacentral:rRNA from 1 species